rnacentral:rRNA from 1 species
UAGGGAAUCUUCGGCAAUGGACGAAAGUCUGACCGAGCAACGCCGCGUGAGUGAAGAAGGUUUUCGGAUCGUAAAACUCUGUUGUUAGAGAAGAACAAGGACGUUAGUAACUGAACGUCCCCUGACGGUAUCUAACCAGAAAGCCACGGCUAACUACGUGCCAGCAGCCGCGGUAAUACGUAGGUGGCAAGCGUUGUCCGGAUUUAUUGGGCGUAAAGCGAGCGCAGGCGGUUUCUUAAGUCUGAUGUGAAAGCCCCCGGCUCAACCGGGGAGGGUCAUUGGAAACUGGGAGACUUGAGUGCAGAAGAGGAGAGUGGAAUUCCAUGUGUAGGGGUGAAAUGCGUAGAUAUAUGGAGGAACACCAGGGGCGAAGGCGGCUCUCUGGUCUGUAACAGACGCUGAGGCUCGAAAGCGUGGGGAGCAAACAGG